CUCCUUUGAUCUCUAACAGAGGGGGUCCAGGUUAUUACACUCCCAGACCACCACCUCCUUUGAUCUCUAACAGAGGGGUUACAGGUUAUUACCCUCCCAGACCACCAUCUCCUGUGAUCUCUAACAGAGGGGUUACAGGUUAUUACCCUCCCAGACCACCACCUCCUUUGAUCUUUAACAGAGGGGGUACGGGUUAUUACCCUCCCAGACCACCACCUCCUUUGAUCUCUAACAGAGGGGGUCCAGGUUAUUACCCUCCCAGACCACCACCUCCUUUGAUCUCUAACAGAGGGGGUCCAGGUUAUUACCC
ensembl:lncRNA